GGGGAUGCCGGGAAUCGAUGAACUGGUACCUUGAAAAUUCGGCAAGCCGAGUUUGAACACCACUCGUAAAACAGGUUCAAAUCCUAAGUGUCAACACUAUGAAGACACGCAUGGAGGGUUUUCUCGCAAAGAUAAACCCCUUCAUGUCCGUUCGCCCCGUAUACGCCUAUAACGCUUAAGCCGGGACGAAAGGCGUCUCACUUUGCCUCUCCGAAGCAAUUUGAGGCGAAUACCCUCGGAGUGCUCCCAGCCUGAUGGUGCCCCCGAUUAAGCCCGCAGCUGUGGAAAAGAUUAAAUUAAUCGACCCCCCUCGCCGCAAGGCGGGGUAAAGCUUGUAACCAACCGGAUUCCAAAACCAAUUCAGAUGAGGGUUCAACUCCCUCCAUCUCCACUC
rfam:Microgenomates (Amesbacteria) bacterium GW2011_GWC1_47_15 TX86_C0044, whole genome shotgun sequence.